rnacentral:rRNA from 1 species
UACGUAGGGCGCAAGCGUUGUCCGGAAUUAUUGGGCGUAAAGAGCUCGUAGGCGGCUUGUCACGUCGGAUGUGAAAGCCCGGGGCUUAACCCCGGGUCUGCAUUCGAUACGGGCUAGCUAGAGUGUGGUAGGGGAGAUCGGAAUUCCUGGUGUAGCGGUGAAAUGCGCAGAUAUCAGGAGGAACACCGGUGGCGAAGGCGGAUCUCUGGGCCAUUACUGACGCUGAGGAGCGAAAGCGUGGGGAGCGAAACAGG